rnacentral:pre_miRNA from 1 species
AAUGGGAUAACUGGGUCAAAUGGUGGUUCCAUUCCAAGUUUACUGAGGAACUUCCAUACUGCUUUCCAGAGUGGUUGCACCAAUUUGAAGUCCCACCAGCAAU